GCAAUUGUAAUAAAUCGGUAAAUCAUUAGAUUAUUAAUCUCAGGGUUGUGGGUUUAAGCCCCACAUUGGGCA